UACAGAGACUGCAAGCGUUAUUCGGAUUCACUGGGCGUAAAGGGUGCGCAGGCGGCCGAGUGUGUGAGGCGUGAAAGCCCGGGGCUUAACCCCGGAAUUGCACCUCAAACUACACGGCUAGAGCAUUGGAGAGGGUAGCAGAAUUCACGGUGUAGCAGUGAAAUGCGUAGAUAUCGUGAGGAAUACCAGAGGCGAAGGCGGCUACUUGGACAAUUGCUGACGCUCAGGCACGAAAGCGUGGGGAGCAAAAGGG
rnacentral:rRNA from 1 species